rnacentral:rRNA from 1 species
AUUGAACGCUGGCGGCAGGCCUAACACAUGCAAGUCGAGCGAGCGGCGGACGGGUGAGUAAUGUAUGGGGACUGCCCGAUAGAGGGGGAUAACUACUGGAAACGGUGGCUACUACCGCAUACUAUCGGAUAACCCAUAUGGGAUUAAUUAGUAGGUGGGGUAACGGCUCACGUAGGCGACGAUCUCUAGCUGGUCUGAGAGGAUGAUCAGCCAAACGGGGAAUGCGACACGGCACAGACGCCUACGGAGGCAGCAGUGGGGAAUAUUGCAAAAUGGGCGAAAGCCUGAUGCAGCCAUGCCGCUUGUAUGAAGAAGGCCUGAGGGUUGUAAAGUACUUUCAGCGGGGAGGCGUUACCCGCAGAAGAAGCACCGGCUAACUCCGGGCCAGCAGCCGCGGUAAUUC